rnacentral:rRNA from 1 species
UUAAAACUUUCAACAACGGAUCUCUUGGUUCCGGCAUCGAUGAAGAACGCAGCGAAAUGCGAUAAGUAAUGUGAAUUGCAGAAUUCCGUGAAUCAUCGAAUCUUUGAACGCACAUUGCGCCCCCUGGCAUUCCGGGGGGGCAUGCCUGUUCG